CUUUGACUCACUAUAUUAUCCAUUACUUAAAGUUUUAUCUGUAAGACCAGUAAUCAGUAUAAGCCUAGCACUCACAUUACUGGUUUCCAACAAUUAUCAAUUGUUCUCCUCAGACUGAUUCAGAGUGAGAAGUUUCAACAGGCUGGUUUAAAAGGAAUUGCAACUGUGAUCACCAAUCUUGAGCAAGAUUUUGACCUUGGUAUUCAUCAACAAUUGAAUAUCAGUGAAAAGUGCAAAGGGAGAAAAACAAUAGAGGUAAAGUGAAAAUAAUAAUAAUGAUAAUAGUCUCUUUUUCUAGUAUUAUUUCUCAUCAGUACCUAGAGUUAUGACUUUAUGUAGUUUUAUAGGGUUGGAGGCUUUUUAAAGGUGUUUUAAGAAGCAUAGAGUGAAGGUCACUAUAGUAUGUGUUUUAAAAGUAUAUGAAUACAUUCUAUUAAUGUAGAAUCUCUAUUAAUGUAGAGAGAAAAUGUGAUAUAUACUAGGUUUGUGUAUUUAGGUUGUUUCUAUAUCUUGCAUACUGUGAAAAAUGUUGCAAUGGACAUCCAAGUGCUAAUAUCUCUUCAAGACCCUGAUUUCAAUUCUUUUGGGUAAAUACCCAGAAGCAAGAUUGCUUUUUCACAUGGUUGUUCCAUCUUUAGUUUUUGAGGAACCUCCACAUUGUUUUCUGUAGUGGCUGCACCAGUUUGCACUCUUACCACCACAGGACAAGGGUUCUAAUUUCUCCACUUCCUCAUCAACACUUGUCUUUUGGUCUUUUUUGAUAACAUCCAUCCUGUCAGGCAUGAGAUUGUAUCUCAUUGUGGUUUUAAUGUGCAAUUUCCAGAAAUGAGGAAUUACUAGAUAUCUGCUGCAUGACAGUGUACCUAUAGUCAACAAUACUAUAUUUUACACUU
rnacentral:lncRNA from 12 species